UAAAAGCCGCCCAGUUCGGAUUGCAGGCUGCAACCCGCCUGUAUGAAGUUGGAAUCGCUAGUAAUCGCGGAUCAGCAUGCCGCGGUGAAUACGUUCCCGGGCCUUGUACACACCGCCCGUCACACCAUGAGAGUCGGGAACACCCGAAGUCCGUAGUCUAACUUUCACGAGAGGACGCGGCCGAAGGUGGGUUCGAUAAUUGGGGUGAAGUCGUAACAAGGUAGC
rnacentral:rRNA from 1 species